rnacentral:lncRNA from 1 species
GGAAGGGCGGCGUAGAAGAGGAAAGGCUGGGGGUUUCGGAUGGUUGUUUUUGAAGCCAUCAGUAUUCUUGAAGAAGCAGCAUAUCUUGAACUGUCCUAUGGGUGAAGGCUUUGAUGUGGUCCUGUAAAAACUGGCAUUGAAAUGGAUGGCAUCUGAUCCUGCUUCAUGUGAUUCUUCAUUUAGCUCUGGACUCUUUACAUCAUUAAGGUACCCUGAAUAUAUUCAGUAUGGAAGAAGUGUUAUCAAUUCUGUUGAUGGACCCCUUAAUCUCUUCUACUGAUUAUCUUCUACUUGAACCAGUGCCAAAUUAAUGUUGCAAGCUUUGUCUUGAAAUAUUUUCUUCUGAGCAUCAGCCAGAGAUCACUGAUUGGUUCACAGGAAUAAGCAGGGUUACUCUAAACUGCUUGAAAAGGAAACCUCAAAAACAACUGAUGAAACUAGAAUUUAAUAACAAGUGUACCAUAAUUCUUGAAACAUAAUUUUUCUCUCUCUAGUCUUUCAUUUUUACCAAAGACAAAUCAUGGUAAGUUCAACUUGCUUUAUUAUACUUGGCCUGAUUAUUUGUAUAAUAUGCAGCAAGAAUAAUUAUUUUUCACAUAAACUUUUUAAGUUGACUUUGAUGGAAAUUUGUUGCAUAGAAAGAUUCUCAGAUAAGACUUUUUUAAAGAUGAUCCCAGCCGUGGCUUUGUACCCUCAAAUACCUAUGAGUUAGGUAAAUUCCUCUACUCUUGAGGUCCCACGACAACUUGGAGCUCCUGAGCCUUUCAGAAAGUGACAUUCUUUACUUACCGAGGUCAAGAACCCUGCACAAGGCCUUUGUAGACAAGUAUGAGGCCAGUUUUCUUAAGGGAAUUUUAUUGGCUCUGUAAGUCAAAUUUAAUUCCUUAAAGAAAAGCACAUCAUUUCAGUAAAGCCUUGAUAAAAAUAACAAGUUUCUCCAGUUGUGUCAUGUUCCAAAAAAAAAAAAAAAAA